UCGAAUUCAAAACUAAACGUAGAACUCUGGAUAUACAUUAAUUGUAGAACAUAAAAAAAAUAGAAAUAAAUACAAGAAAAGUAAUGAGUUUGAUCUUCCAGAUCAUUGGCUAUUUUAUGUCUGUGCUACUUAACGAAGGAAAGCUUUAUACGAAAUUAAAAUUCCUGGGCUAAAUGGAAUUUAUACUUCCAAGCGAAGCUAGCAUACCGUACGUUAGCCGGGGGAUCCGAACCAUUCAAAUCUCAAUGAUUUGGACUCUUAAGAAAGUAAAGGACCCGAGGUGUAAUGGACGAAUCUAUCCUAAAAUCAGGUAAAAAAACGAAUCAACUGAUAUAGAAUAAACUUGAAAUACAUUCACAAAAAAGGUUCGUAGAAUCCAUUGAUAAGAAAGCCCACAUACAUGCCUAAUAUUUUUGGGCCAGUACCGCCUAAACUGUUUAAUUAAAAUCGAUUAUUCCACGUUCAUAGCCUUCCGUUGACGGUGAAGAAAAUGAAGAAAAUAUUUACACAUUGUCCAAAUGUUAUUUUAGCUUUCAGGCUUCAAGGGUAAAAGUUAAUGACCAAAUUGUUGACAAACUAUAUUUACAAUACUAAGUAAACUGUAUUGAAUAAUGGAAAAUUGUAAUGUGUGGAUCGAUUUUUAGGGUGACCCAUUUAUUAUUUUUAAUUGAGGAACGUAACAGGAAUUAUGGAUGACGAUAGCUGUUUCUAUGAAGUAUCUAAUACAGACAAGGGAGGAAACCUCCUUGGAAAUUCUAAUUUUUUCCUUAUCGUUACGUCGAUCAUCCACUAUAAUCCCAGAUAAAUUGUCGCUCAAUCAAAGACGAAAAGUUUGUAUUAGGCCUGAAAAUCGAUAUGCGGCGCCAGGGAUCGGGAAAUCCUAGAUAUCUCAAUUAUCGAAAACAAGGGCAUGUUCUGGGGUUUCGGGGUCGUCCACCCUCUUCCAACCGACCCCAAUUACCAUAAUACAUGUCGAAUUUUAUUUGGAACAAACGAUAGCUAAGGCAGAAUCUUUUCCCGCUUGUUUUGUCUCUUUAUGUCCCGGCUUCUCAUUUACAUACAUACGUAUCUGCCGAACGCGCGUGA